rnacentral:rRNA from 1 species
AUUGAACGCUGGCGGCAGGCCUAACACAUGCAAGUCGAGCGGAUGAAGGGAGCUUGCUCCUGGAUUCAGCGGCGGACGGGUGAGUAAUGCCUAGGAAUCUGCCUGGUAGUGGGGAUUAAGUUCGGGAACCGGGCCUUAAUCCCCCUUCGGUCUUAGGGAGAAAGGGGGGGGUUCUUCGACCCUCCCCCUACAGGUUAACCUAGGUUGGAUUAGCCAGUUGGUGGGGUAAGGGCCUACCAAGGCGACGAUCCGUAACUGGUCUGAGAGGAUGAUCAGUCACACUGGAACUGAGACACGGUCCAGACUCCUACGGGAGGCAGCAGUGGGGAAUAUUGGACAAUGGGCGAAAGCCUGAUCCAGCCAUGCCGCGUGUGGGAAGAAGGUCUUCGGAUGGUAAAGCACUUUAAGUUGGGAGGAAGGGCAGUAAGUUAAUACCUUGCUGUUUUGACGUUACCAACAGAAUAAGCACCGGCUAACUUCGUG